rfam:Myotis davidii contig10937, whole genome shotgun sequence.
CGUGCAUUGGUGGGGUCCCUCAGCCUGGCCUGUGCCCUGUUGCAAUAUGGGACCCCUUGGGGGAUGCCUGGAGAGCUGGUUUUGGCCCGAUCCCACAGGCCAGGCUGAGGGACCCCACUGGUACACA